UCCAUACCUUAUUCACAAACGCGGACGCGCUGUAAAAUCUAACGGACGUUGGUACAGUUUUUGUUGGGGCAGACACGACCGAACAGCGCUCUCCAUAUACAGGUGGAAUUACCUCUGGGUCGGACAGGGCUAGCCAGCUGUAAUCCACCCUGCUACGGUGAUGCCCGCCUGCCUCCCGGCUUUUACGACCAAGAAUCGGAGCGCUGAUGUGAUGUUUCCCCGUCGACUGAUGAGGGAAGUAAGAGAAGGCAGCCACGACACGCGAUUGUUCAACAUGACAGUGAGACAGAAAAAUAAUGUCAAGAUAAAUAAAAAAUCAUGAUGAGUGAAGUUCUUCGUCAGGUUGUGUUUUUUUCGGGUUCUUAUUUAAACGGUGUCUAGGCCAGGUCUGUGUUAUCUGUAGAAUUAAAUCUAAAUGCUGUUUGA